UUUCCUGAAAAAACGGGGGCAUCUGAGAACCCCAAAUUUGGGGAGCUAGUCCAGGACAGUCCUGCCAACAUCCUAGAUUUUUUUGGUAUUUUUUGGGGCCCCCGGGACCCCUCUAGAUGGGGUGAGGAAUGUAGUGUUGGGGGAAUCUGACUGGGGCACUGCAGCUGCCUCUCCCGCCGAGUUGGAGACGGAUGGGCUGGGACGGGUUUGGGGGGGUGUCCCCAAUUCUGACUGGGAAUGGAGGAACCCCCUCCUGAGAUCUCUUGUGGGGGUCCCCCCUCCCUAGGGCACUCCCCACUCCCUGAGCCAGCCGAGAGGAAGGAGGCCAGCGAUGCGACUGGGGCGGCUCCUUUCUCCUGCACCCCAAAUGUGAGGGAUGCACCCCAAAUUUUGCUCCCUUCAAAAUAGGGGACCAGGAUCUCAGGGGAGAGUAGCUGAGGCAGCAACCUCACAGCCCUCACCAGCCUUCUGUUUCUUUAUGGGAGGACCCCCGGCCUCAGGGACACUGGAGCUGCUUGGCGGAGGUGCAGCUGGAGGAGGUGACAAGACACCAGAUGCCAUCUUCUUGGGCCCUUUCUUGGGUGACUCAGCUGGAAGGGGAAUCCCAGAGUCUUCAUAUACCUUGCGCUUCACUGUAGCCUUUAUCUGAGCCCUUAAAAGAUAAGAGAACAGUCCUCAAGGGAACAAAACUAGCAACAAUGUAGGAAAGGCAGAGCUGGAAGGGAGUUCUGAGGAAGAUGGAACAAUGGGUAUGGAGGAAGAAAGCUGCCCACCCCCCCUUUCUCCGCCAGCUAACCCUCCCUCACACUGUCCGUUCCUUGAUGACACAGCUGAUGUGAUUAAGAUCGUCCCCAAACCGCU